AAAGAGGUGGUCAGAGAGGAAGAGGAGAGAGGGGAGGAGUAAAGAGGUGGUCAGAGAAGGAGAGGAGAGAGGGGAGGAGUAAGGUGGACAAGAAGACAGGGGAGGAGUAAAGUGGUGUUGGAAGAUGGGAGAAGAGUGAGUCAGAAGAGAGGAGAAAUGUGGAGGUGCCAAAAAGAGGGGAGGAGUAAGUGGAGGAAGAGAGGUGAGGAGUAAGUGUAGCACGAGUCGAUUGAUGAUUUGGGUAACUGUCUCUCUCCGUCACAGUGAGGAUGAGUCACUCUCUAUGCGCAUAACUGCACCAGCAUGCAUGUGUGUGAUCUGUGAGUUCUGUGUGUGGGUGUGUGUGAUCUGUGAGUUCUGUGUGUGGGUGUGUGUGAUCUGUGAGUUCUGUGUGUGGGUGUGUGUGAUCUGUGAGUUCUGUGUGUGGGUGUGUUUGAUCUGUGAGUUCUGUGUGUGGGUGUGUGUGAUCUGUGAGUUCUGUGUGUGGGUGUGUUUGAUCUGUGAGUUCUGUGUGUGGGUGUGUGUGAUCCAGGUCUAUGUAUGCAAAAUGUUAAGGUUAGCUUAAGGUAAGGGUUAUGAUUAGACUUAGGGGAUUUAGAUUUACAAUCGGUUGUCUGGUCCUUACAAGGGGACAGAACCCUUGUGUGUUUAGGGGUGUGAGUGCAGACUAAAUGUUAAAGGACACUAUUGAUUAACUGUUUUCAAUUUAAUGACCACGUAUAGAAGAACCAAUUACAGAUCAAUAAGUUAUUGAUAGAUCAUUUAUAGAUCUACGCUUAGCCUAAUCAAUGUGUAUAUGAUAUCAUCUGUACCAACCUCUGGACAUUACAAUUAUGUCCAUGUUUACUCAUGUUUCCUAACACGUCACGUGUUUAUAUGCUCUCCUGCAACUGGUCUAAACGCGUUCGUUCUAUUCUGUGCUACGGUGAGAAUCUGUUUACCGCACAGACUCAUUCAGCUGCACGCGCACGGUGCACGCUGCA
ensembl:lncRNA